CGAGUGGGGUUUUUUCUAUUGUUGGGGGAGCUGAGAGGCCUGGCUCUGACCCCUUGUGGGGAUGACGCUGGCAUCCCAUGGGGAGAAACAUGCAGCGUGUGGGGGGUUUCGCAGGCAGUCUCGUCCCAGUGCCCUUUGGGUGCCAGCCGGGCCGCUGACGAUGCUGAGCGGGAGCGCAGGGACCGAGAGGAGCGGCUGAGACACUCGCGGAACCCGGCUACCCGCGGCCUCCCUUCCACAGCCUCCGGCCGCCUGCGGGGGACGCAGGAAGUGGCUCCCCCCACACCCCUCACCCCUACCUCACACACGGCUAACACCUCCCCCCGGCCUGUCUCGGGCAUGGAGAGAGAGCGGAAAGUGAGUAUGCGGUUGCACCGCGGGGCCCCCGUCAACAUCUCCUCGUCCGACCUCACAGGCCGACAAGAUACCUCUCGCAUGUCCACCUCACAGGACUAGGCCUGAGCCCUGUCGUCGUACCGGCGAGGAUGUGCGUCUCCCCUGCCUGCAGGCUGUGCCCUGAGACCCAGUUGUGGGGCUGCCCAGCACCUGCCAUCCUGCUGGGAGUCA
rnacentral:sRNA from 1 species